UCUUCAACCAUCAUAUUUUGGUGAUCUUGUGCAAAUUGUAGCCUCUUUUUCCUAUUUGUAGUGGAGAUGAGUGGUGCCCCGUGGGGUCUUCUGCUGCUGUAGCCCAUCCACCUCAAGGUUGUGCAUGUUGUGGCUUCACAAAUGCUUUGCUGCAUUCCUCGGUUGUAACGAGUCACUUCAGAUAUUAAAUAAAUAAAUAUCAUAAUAAUAAUAAUAAUAUACGGAAUAUUAAACAUUGAACUAAACUGAAUACGAGUUCAACGUACCAUUACACCCCUAGUAAUGAUUGUGGGUUGAGACACCUGAAUCAGAAUGCGAAAACAGUAUGACUCAGUGGAUUUAAAAAUACACACAGAUGAUGGAAAAAAUCAGAGUAUGGGGAAGCUGGCAACUCCUCCUUUUGUUGCAUUUUUAAAAUGGGAAGUGUGGGUGAAGUUAUACUCUGGGGUGACUUGCUCUUUAAGGAAAUUAUUACUGUUAUGUCUAUAGCUUGACAUUAGAUCUAUUUUUCUUUUCUUUGCAGCAUCUUUCAAAAGAUAAAAGCUGAGAAACAAAAGCAAUGGGCUCGACCAAAGUUCUGAAGAUGAACCCACCUUGUGCACCCAAAGGCCUACAGGGAAAUCAAAGAAGAAGCAGACCAACAAAGGAACACCCACCCAUUCCCCUUCCCUGCUCACUGUCCAUGGUUUUACUCAAGAUCAUCCAGAUAUGAUGAGCCAAGAACCUUCAGGAGCUGAGUGGUCUAAGGAGUCAAAUGGAAAGGACAAAACAGACAUGGAUCAACAGGAUUUAACCUCUAAGAAAUUCAACCGAAAGAUUUGGAGCAAAUCUGGGAAAGAAGCGGUUUGGCAACAGCUUGGUCGGUACAUCACUCUUGAAAGAGUUCCUGGUAAAAUGCUGUGUGUGAAAGCACUCAGUACAGAGACAGCACUUUAGAACAGAAGUUGGAAAGAUGUAAAAAACUGCAUCUAUAACCACAUCCCUGAUCAAAAAAGAAAAAGGCUGUAGUUUUUGCGUUAAAAGCAGCAGGAGCUGAGUUAAUGCAUGUAAUGUUACAAGCAGAGCAUUUAAUGAUACCUAGUUAUUUUUAUUUUAUGAGACAUUGGAAAUAUGUUAAAAACUAUAAUUAUAACAGCAUUGCAGAUCAAAAAUGUUACAAGCAGAGCAUUUUAUGGUACCUAAAGAUAUUUAAAUUUUAUUACAUGUUGGAAAGAUGUUAAAAACUAUAAGUAGAACAGCAUCACAGUAGCAUUGCAGGGAUUAAUCGUUUUGACUAUUAACCCUGGUUAACCCCAAGUAAAUAGAUCUUCAACACCAUCAAACUAAAACAAAAAGACAAUAGCGUAACUCGUAAGUACAAAAACAAAACUGAAACUGAACACGCGCCCGCAGCAGAAGCAUGAUCAGUGAAAACAACCAUCGGGACUCCUCCAUUUCUACCUCGGAAGAGGUUGAAUUCUCCUGUGUGGGAAUAGUUUAGAUAUAUUAGAUAUCAUCCCACACAGGAGACUUCAACCGCUUCUUAGGUGGAAAUGGAGGAGUCCCGAAGGUUGUUGUCACUGGUUCUGCUUCUGCUGCGUGAGCACGUUCAGUUUCACUUUUGUCUUUGUCCAUGAGGGUCAUGCCAUAGUCCUUUUUUUAUUGUUGGUGUGGUAGACAUCUUUAAGGGGGGUUAUCAGGGGUUAAUAGUCAAACUGGUUAAUCUCUGCAAGCCUACUUCACAGCUCAAAAAAGAAAAAAAACUGUAGUUGAUAUGUUUUAUUUUAAAAGCAGCAGAAGCUGAGUUAAUGCAUGCAAUGUUAAAUGCAGAGCAUUUAAUGGUACCUAAAGUUGUAUUAAUUUAUUAGAAGUUAGAAAUAUGUCAGAACUACUAGUAGAGCAGCAUCACAGCUCAAAAAGAAAAUAAAAACAAUAUUUGAAAAUUUUCUUUUUCAAAGCAGAAGGAUCUGAGUUCAUUUAUGUAAUUUUAUGCACCGUGUUUACUUUAUUUGGUAUCUAAAAUUUAUAUUUUAUCAGCAGAUGAAUUAGAAAGAUUUUAAAAACUGCAUGUAUAACUGCAUUUUAGCUCAAAAAAGAAAAAAGUAAACAUAUUCAAUUUUAAAAGAAACAGGAGCUGAGUUCAUAUAUGUAUGUAAUGUUUAAAGGUGCCUAAAGUUUAUUUUAGUUCAACUGUUGCAGUCACAAUUGCAAAGUUUAAUGAAAUCCUUUUUACUUCAAUAAAAUAACUACUUUGUAGUAAUUUCUGUCAUGUUUCCUGUUAUUUAUGUUCUGUAACUAAGAUUUACAGGGAGCUGCACGGCUGAAUGCAGUUUGAAUCCAGCUUAGUCUUUAUGGUGGUUGCAUAUUUUUCCUAUGUAUGUCUGGGUUCCUCCAGGAUAAUUUGAUACCUUUCACCAUCCAAAAUCAUUCUAUGUUUAUUAGUCGAUGAGCCGAUACCAAUAUUUGAUAUUAAUAUCACUGCUUCUGCAGUACUGCAGACGUUGUACCGAUCUGUCGUGGUGAAGAGAGAGCUGAGCCAGAAGGC